ensembl:lncRNA
UUCUCUGGGCUCCUUGGGACAGGAGAUUAGUUGAAGGGUUCUGCACACACUCUCCCCUGCUCCUAGAUCAGGUUUCUUACUUUGCUAUACAUCGAGAUUCCACAAAAACGUUCAAAAGCCACUGGCUUGAAUUACAACAUCUCAUGUUGGCUCACCUACAGGUAGAUUAACGGGAGGAAGGGCUCUUGAUAAUCAGUUAGCUACCUUUAACAAAUCCUUCUAGAGAAACUAAUAGCUUCUCCCAGAGGCACGGGUUUUAGUUCACCUGGUUCCAACUUCUAUUAUUGAAUUUCUUCACCUUUGCCCAUUUUCCCACUACCCCCUUUUCAUUGCUUAGUACUUGUCUGAGUGGCUUAUUACAAUUAAGAUAAAGUAGUUGUCUUCAACUAAGGACAGUUUGAUAGAUUUGGUGCUAAGAAAUGAGACAUGAUACAACCAGUUUCCUAGGAAAGCAGCCACUGGACGCUAGUGUUGAGCAACUCAGUCAACACUGGAUACUAAGCAAAAACCAAAAGAAUGAGUUGAUCUCGAAGCGGCCUUGGCACAACUGAGGAAUUUCAAUUAAUGCCACCCUAAGGGCUAGUCAGGGUUUUGGCUACUAUGAGCUGAAUCUCAGACAAGUUCCAAGAGAAAACAUAAGCCGAGGUUUGGGCUAAACUGAGCCCAGUGGCCAGAAAGCAGGCAGAGUGCACAGUAGGCCAAAGCUCAGAGAGGCAUCCACACAGACGAAACGGCCUAAGGCACAGCCAGGUUCCCAUUUGCGGAGGGGAGUCUUCCGCUAUUUCAUGUCAUGUUCUAAACAUAAGUUGACAUUUGAGCAGCUUGAUACUACUCAAAUUCCUUCUCCCCACUCUCAUGGUUUUAGCUAUAAACUUGUCUCCUCCUAACCCAUCAUACGUUUGAUAUCUAGAGCCAUGUGGCUCUCCAGAAGCCUGUCCAGUAACACCAACUACUUGUAGACAGCAGCUUCAUAGGACUCACCUGCAGUUAAGCCCUUAAUUGGGUAAACAGAUGACAAUUGUUUUGCCCUGCAUUUCUAAGGGGGGAAAGGCGAAACUUUUGUGCCUCCACUGUCAUCUUUUGAGGUGUUUUCUUUGCCUGAUAAUCCAUUGAGGUAUUUCGUCGAUUUGAAAGUGAAGUUGUAGACAGAGGUUCACUUUUCAUUUGUUUUCCUUGGUUUUCAUAGUGUUUGAUAAAGUUACAUAAAACAAAGUGCUAGUAGACAAGCUAUACCAUGCACUAUAAUAUCUUAGAAUUCACACCUAAAUUUAACCAAGUUCUUGGUUGACAGAAUCAAGUCACUAGUACACCAGCUUUUGGAAUUCCUGAAGCAGAAAAAUUUUCCUAUCAAUAAAGAUACACAAUUACAGGUAAGGAGUCUACAGGAUGAGUAAUUAGGUAAUUGGUUUUCAGUGUUGUUAGGCAGCCAUGGAGAAGCAGAGCCACCCAUCCCUUUCCCUGGGCUUCAUCUUCACCCCCCCCCCCCCACCACCUGCUCCACACUCAGUUCUAGUUAUAACCAUUAACUAACAGUGUUGCUUAGAAAGGCUGGGCCUCUCAAGAUCCCAGGUCUUUUCUGUCAAGAAAUUCUAUGUUAAGCAGAUUGCCAGCGCAGAACCACACAUCUCUUGAGUUGGGUAUCCAUGUGAUCUUUGCUCUGCUGAGCCCUGCUUCCUUCAUAAGUACAUUGUAAACAAAGUAACUCCACACUGAUGGAGAUGAGAGUAGACAAAGGUGCAUGUCCUGACUCGUACUUUUUCUCCAUUUUUCCAGCUUUUUCUUAAAGUGACCUAGGUGUUUGAGAAGUGUGAUUUUUAGAAGAAAGCUUUAUAUAGUUGACCUAAAGAAACUGCAAUACCAUCUGCUAUGCAGCACCUGUGAAGUCAGUCAAGAGAAUGAAUACGUCCAUCACAUAGCAUGUUCUUGAGUCUCUCACAGAGAUGCCACAUCAUCCCCUUCCCCUGUAACAGGCACUUUUGUCUCUUGACAAGCUUAAGGAAGCCCCACAAUCCUUCUAGUGCUCCGGGUGGCCACCAUCUAACUAGAUAGUUUCCUCACUCUCCCAGCUGCAAAAGCUUCUCCUAAUCAUUCACCUAUCAGGAAAGUGCUUCCAGGUGAGUAAAUCUGGCACUGAAUGAAGAUCACAAGGUGAGAUAAUACAUUUCCCUCCACCUCCACAUCCAGGUAUAAGGUUUCAGCCCACAGGUUUUAUACAAAGUAUCUUCAGAUCAGACAGCUGCUUUCAAAGGGAAUGUAACCUAAGACCCCACUCCUUGGUAAGAGGGCUCAAAAGCCACAUGAUGCUUGAAGUUCACUUUAGCUCACCUCCUUCACUAAACACACCACACAAAGGAUCUUUGCUUCCCACAAAUAAGUCUAAUUCAAAAAUUAGACUUUUCCUCCCAUGGUUUUCACCCAAGCUGACCCAAACUUUAGUCUCUAAAGCAGGAUGGAGAGAAGCUAGUUUUUGUGUCUGCCAUUACGCUGGACAGGAGUUUCUCUCCAAUAGAGGUUUUAGGAUUCCAACCGAAGGCUAGAAAUAAAGGCAUUUAGAAACUUCUCAAAGAAAACAAGAUUACCAGGUUUACUCUAAGCAUAGGGGCUCUAAACUGACGUGUUUCUUUACUGCAGUACAUUAGCUGGGAGAGAGAUUUUGCUAAAGUAUCUUUUAUGCUAAAGGUUAAACAGUACUCAAAAAGCAGGUGACUUAAGAGAUUUGAUCAUGAGUCUCAAAAUUCACGAUCCCAUCUUAAGCUUCCCCAAGAUCUAACUUCCUUUAGAAACCCCAGUGAUAAGAAAAGCUUCUCCUCUGUCUCUAUUUCAAGCAAGAGAAGAGACGCCUGAUAAAACGACUCCAGGAAGUUGCCAUAACCUCCUAAGAGGUAUUUUCUGUCUGCACACAACUAGUUUCCAUUCUUUCAAGUUCCUCAAUCUUCUUAGAUUCCCUCGCCUACUUACUUCGUUCAUUCUUUCCCUUUUAAAGUAAGCUAGCCAAAAUUUCCCUUGAGAUCUACGAAAGGUUUGGUUCUUUCUACCCACCGCUCCUAGCCAGAUAACUUUUUAGCACGCAGCGUGCCUGUAAAACUUUGAACCACGUUCAGACCCCAACCCCAAGCCACACCCAGCAGCACCAGAGCAACCU